rnacentral:rRNA from 1 species
CAGCAGCCGCGGGAAUACGGAGGGAGCUAGCGUUGUUCGGAAUUACUGGGCGUAAAGCGCACGUAGGCGGCUAUUCAAGUCAGGGGUGAAAGCCCGGGGCUCAACCCCGGAACUGCCUUUGAAACUAGAUAGCUUGAAUCUUGGAGAGGCGAGUGGAAUUCCGAGUGUAGAGGUGAAAUUCGUAGAUAUUCGGAAGAACACCAGUGGCGAAGGCGACUCGCUGGACAAGUAUUGACGCUGAGGUGCGAAAGCGUGGGGAGCAAACAGGAUUAGAUACCCGGGUAGUCCCUGUCUCUUAUAC